rnacentral:tRNA from 1 species
GGGCGAUUAGCUCAGUUGGAUAGAGCGUUGGCCUCCGGAGCCAAAGGCCGGCAGUUCGAAUCUGCCAUCGCCCACCA